rnacentral:rRNA from 1 species
CCUACGGGGUGCUGCAGUGGGGAAUAUUGGACAAUGGGCGAAAGCCUGAUCCAGCCAUGCCGCGUGUGUGAAGAAGGCCUUCGGGUUGUAAAGCACUUUCAGUGGGGAAGAAAGCCUUGGGGCUAAUACCCUCGAGGAAGGACAUCACCCACAGAAGAAGCACCGGCUAACUCCGUGCCAGCAGCCGCGGUAAUACGGAGGGUGCGAGCGUUAAUCGGAAUUACUGGGCGGACAGCGCGCGUAGGCGGUCUGAUAAGCCGGUUGUGAAAGCCCCGGGCUCAACCUGGGAACGGCAUCCGGAACUGUCAGGCUAGAGUGCAGGAGAGGAAGGUAGAAUUCCCGGUGUAGCGGUGAAAUGCGUAGAGAUCGGGAGGAAUACCAGUGGCGAAGGCGGCCUUCUGGACUGACACUGACGCUGAGGUGCGAAAGCGUGGGUAGCAAACAGGAUUAGAUACCCCUGUAGUC